rnacentral:rRNA from 1 species
CGGACGGGUGAGUAACGCGUGGAAAACCUGCCGUAUACUGGGGGAUAACACUUAGAAAUAGGUGCUAAUACCGCAUAAGCGCACAGCUUCGCAUGAAGCGGUGUGAAAAACUCUGGUGGUAUACGAUGGUUCCGCGUCUGAUUAGCUAGUUGGUGGGGUAAUGGCCUACCAAAGGCAACGAUCAGUAGCCGGCCUGAGAGGGUGAACGGCCACAUUGGGACUGAGACACGGCCCAAACUCCUACGGAAGGCAGCAG